GUGCUCACUUCNGCAGCAUGUAUGCUAAAAUUAUAACGAUAAAGGGAUUAGCAUGGUCCCUAUGCAAGGAUGACACACAAAUUUGUGAAGUAUUCUGUGUUAGA
rnacentral:snRNA from 1 species